UCGAAGCCUGCAUAGCAGAACGACUGAGAACCUGUACAAAUCGUCCGGUGUCAUAGGGGUCGGGCUUAUGUCCGACCCAUGUGGUGCCUUGUUGAUUUGCCAUCCUCGGUCACCUCUUUGGGGUCUUCGGGAUGUCGAAUCAACACAACAACAAACCCCGGCACGGCAUGUGCCAAGGAAAACUGAACUUAAGAAGGGCUUAUUCCAUGCCACCACGUUCGCGUCGGUGUGCAAGGCAUAUGGCUUCUUUGUAACCACAAACGACUCUCGGCAACGGAUAUCUCGGCUCACGCAUCGAUGAAGAACGUAGCAAAAUGCGAUACUUGGUGUGAAUUGCAGAAUCCCGUGAACCAUCGAGUUUUUGAACGCAAGUUGCGCCCGAAGCCAUUCGGCUGAGGGCACGUCUGCCUGGGCGUCACGUAUCGCGUCGCCCCCUCAUCGUGCCUUCCUGAUGGGGAUGCACGUUGUGGGGCGGAUAUUGGUCUCCCGUUCCUGAGGUGCGGAUGGCCAAAAUAGGAGUCCCCUUGACGGACGCACGACAAGUGGUGGUUGACUAAACCCUCGUCUCGUGUCGUGUGUUUUAACCGUGAAGGAAGGCAACACAAGAAACCCCAACGUGUCGUCUUGUGACGAUGCUUCGACCGCACCCCAGGUC
rnacentral:misc_RNA from 1 species